rnacentral:rRNA from 1 species
GUAACGCUAGCGGCAGGCCUUAUACAUGCAAGUCGAACGGUAACAUUGGUGCUUGCACCAGAUGACGAGUGGCGCACGGGUGCGUAACGCGUAUGCAACCUACCUUUUACUAGAGUAUAGCCCAGAGAAAUUUGGAUUAAUCCUCUAUAACAUCUUUUAAUUUCAUGAUUAAUAGAUUAAAGUUUUAAUGGUAAAAGAUGGGCAUGCGUCCUAUUAGUUUGUAGGUGAGGUAACGGCUCACCUAGACUACGAUAGGUAGGGGCCCUGAGAGGGGGAUCCCCCACACUGGUACUGAGACACGGACCAGACUCCUACGGGAGGCAGCAGUAAGGAAUAUUGGACAAUGGACGAAAGUCUGAUCCAGCCAUGCCGCGUGCAGGAUGAAAGCCCUAUGGGUUGUAAACUGCUUUUAUACAGGAAGAAAAACUCCGACGUGUCGGAGCUUGACGGUACUGUAAGAAUAAGGAUCGGCUAACUCCGUGCCAGCAGCCGCGGUAAUACGGAGGAUCCAAGCGUUAUCCGGAAUCAUUGGGUUUAAAGGGUCCGCAGGCGGUCUUUUAAGUCAGAGGUGAAAGCCUACAGCUCAACUGUAGAACGGCCUUUGAUACUGAAAGACUUGAGUUAUUGUGAAGUGGUUAGAAUGUGUGGUGUAGCGGUGAAAUGCAUAGAUAUCACACAGAAUACCAAUUGCGAAGGCAGAUCACUAACAAUAUACUGACGCUCAUGG